GUAGUCUUAUCGGUCAAAUCAUUGGUUGAGGGAGUAGUACUGAGUGACAAAGAAUUCAAGUCUGGAAAUCAGAAGACUAGAGCCUUACUGAUUGAAUGUUUCAUUUGAGGCAAUUUCCUGUCAGAGCUCGUCAGAGGCCAUUGAAAGUUCCCUGCAUGAGAGCAGAGUGUUCCAGGCUAUGCCUCAAGUCAGCCCAGCCUACAUCAGUAGAGAUUAUACCUCAAGGAAUUUCUGGAGUUGGAUUGAAAGAAGAUAUGCUCGAAUCCAUCCUUCCUGAUAAAGAUGUCCAGCAUCAUAGCAGUAAAGAGAUUUUGACAAAGUCCCAGUAACAGCCCUAACUUAGGUGAGAGCUAUCAGUGAGGAAUGAACAUGUUAGAGAUAAAACAUGUUAUCCAUUUUGAAGCUACGAUUUUACAGCAAUAGCCAGCAAACUUUCUCUGUAAAGGGCCACAUAAUAAAAAUGGAAGGCUUUGCUGACUAUGUGUUAUC
rnacentral:lncRNA from 1 species